ACUGGCUGCAGUAUACCCUAUUAGCUCUGUAAUAGGAGUGUGACACCAUUUUUUUAAGUGUGACUGCUGUCCAAAGAAAACAUUAUGACAAAUUUAAUGUAAAAAUUGAAUUGACUUUUAUGUGUGAUUCUAGAAGCAGGCAACACUUUUCUGUGUGAGAAUGAACAGAUGUUCUUUUGAGCUGGGGAGAGGCAAUUACUAGCUUUAUAGUCAGAAAAGGGCUGAAGAGAGCAGCAAUGUACUGGUCAUUUCAAAGUGACUUUAUUUAUAGCGUUAAAAAGAGGGGACACCCUUAUCAUGCUGCUCAGGUAAAUCACACCCCUCCUGACUGGUUGCUGUGAAUUACUGUUUUGUUUUGGAAACUAGCCUGUUUCAGGGUUCAGUGUGAUUCAUGGCACCUGGCAUGAGGAUUCCAUUCUGCUUUGGUUUGGUCUACUGGGAACUUAUGUAGGAGUUCAAUCCAAAAUUCUGGCUUCCCAUAACUUUGCUAACACUGCCAACAAAUUUUAAGCCACAUCCCUUUCCUUCUUCUUUACCUCUGAGUAAGUUGAUAAGAAGGACCAGUAUUCCCUCCUUUGCCUCCAGAAGGAAGGGAAAGCCACCUACAGGAACCAUAACUCCAGCCAUGCCUCGAUCACCAUAAAAACCCCACUGUUCCUGCUCUUUCAAGCCAUUUUUGGACCUGCUUUGAAGUCACCCUUCUCUCCCCAAAAAGCCUCAUUAUGUAAUAAACCUUUCCAUACCCUCUUGGCACAUGUGGGUGAUGUUAUCGUUUUUGACAUCCACACUACAUUUUGGGUGGAGGAUACAUUCUGAAUCUUCAGAGUGAAGUUCCAAAUCAUACUAUAUGUAGUUAUUUUGGUUUCUGGAUAUGAAAGUCAUAAUAGCAGUUAUUGCUUUCUACUUAUACUAUUCUGGCACUUUUUACAUCUUAACUCAUUUAAUCUUCUUAAGAGUUCUGUGAGAUAGAAACUAUGAUUAUUAUCCAGACUCUUGGUGAGUGUACCCAGCAGAGCUCAGGCAAAGAAAGGAAUUUGUGUAGAGUGGCCAGUAUAGUUGAUGAUGGGAGCUAGUGUUCAGAUGCCAAUAAAUGGAAAGAGAAAAGCAGAAAGCUAUGGACUCACAUUCAGAACAUGAGAGGAAGAGGAAGAGCCAGUCAACUGGUCUAAAUGUUAUGGAGUACCUAAUUAGGUGUUGGUUGGAUUAAAUAAUUGUUGUAAUAAGUUUAAAGGUGGUCUGACUGUCUAGAACAGAGCCUGAAAGCCUAGACAAACCUUUUCAGAUCGUUUCUCUUUGAUCUGAAAAGACCCUUUGUCAUAUGAUAUCCUUUUCUCAUUGCCCGAUCAUGAAGCAGUGGGCACCCCACUGUGGAGGGAAUUCUGAACAGAGGUCUGUGGCAUAGGGAAGCUCCCUUCCUUGGUAGGCAGAGAGGAUCAUUUGGGUGGAAGUUUGCACAUUUACACAGAAUUCCAGAAGGCUCUUGGUAUGGUCUUGAGGCUGGACUUUCCUUUGGAUGUUCAAUGUUGUCACACCCUUCCUAAUGACUACAGAUGCUACAGCUGAAAUCUGCUAGCAAAAAGAAGAUCAUGAUUGUGUUACUGGAACUGCCCAUGGGAACAUUUUUGGGUCAGUGAUCCAGGUUCUAUACCAGUGAUUAGAUGAUCAGAAAGGAAGAGUCAUUUCAGACAAGCAUGUGGCCUGUGGUUCUGCUGGUGGGUACUUUUAGGGCAGUUGGAAGGGCCUACGUGGAGCAUAUUAGCCAAGAAUGACAAUGAGAAAGUGGUAUUGUCUCUUCUUUAAAACAAUCCUCCCAGCUCUGAAGGGGCCUAAAACAGCAAGCGUGUUACAGAGCAGGAGGUGAAGGUGGGAUUAGAAAGGAGCAGACUCUGAAGAUGAUCCCAUGCAUCACUGUCAGAAGCUAGGGCUACUGAGAAUGGAGCUGCUCCUAUAUAGAAAACUCUCCUACCAUUCCCUUGAGAGGUAUUAGAAAUAAAACCAGGCUUUUGGAUUAGUUAAACAAUUCAAAGGAUGAAAACAACAGAGAGGGAAGAGCUAGAGCCAAGCUCAUCUUAAUCUUAAAUAACAAAAAUGUGACCUUAAUGGCAUUGAGUGUUGGGGAAGCAGGUCGUUCAGUGAUGAGGACAGAGAAGGCAGACUUAUAAUUAUCUUACUAUCACCUUCUGAACACUCACUGUGCACACUGCUUUGCACUUUCCUGAUACAUAGAUACUCAGUGUGUGAUAACUGCAGUUAAUAACAUUAUUAUUAAUAUUUUGUACCAACAUUAUUAUUAAUAUCAUUGUUGUUUAUAGUAGUUAAAACAUUACUGAGUGGCCAAAAAAGUCCGAGUAUACUAAUUAACAGCCACCUGCUUUUUGAAUCUCAUUCCUUAAGUAAACUGCACAGAACAAGAAGAGCCAUUGUUUGCGAUGAGGAAGGAAAGGUUCCUGCAAAAGGCAUCAUCACAGCACAAUGUUUUGCACCAGCUAUCCUUCCUGCAGCUGGAACCUGGCAGAGCAGGACAGCACACCCCCCACCCUCUGGGAUCAUUACUCACUGCUCCCCUGAUUAGUGGGAAGGUGGAUAUGUUUGUUUUUAUCUUCCAUACACAGCCCAACACUGGAAGACUCUGUCAAGGGAGAAAAAGGUAUUUGUAAGUAGGAGCAACCUGCUAAGUUUCUGGAUUUGGGGGGUGGGGGUAGGGUCUUUGUAGUUCUUUUUCUUCAUUACUUUCUCUAUCUCUCUCUCACGCUCCUCUUUACCACCCUCCACCCUAAAUUCACAUCAGGCAUUUCCACCUGUUCUCAUCUUUGUGACUUUGGAAGCAUGUCCUAGUCCCUAAGAUGUUCCACAGACAAUGAUUAGUAGUUUGGGGAAACUUGAGAUACCACAUACUCUUCCCAGAAAUUCACAAUGUAUUUCAUCAUGUACACAGCCCUGAAAACCAUUGGAUCCUGUUGGAUCUGGGGUGCCUUAGUCUCUUUGCUCACAAAACAUUAUUUUGUUCACAAUACUUAUUAAUAUCCCUCAGUACUAGGGUGCCAAGGGACCAGAUCAGGUAAUUUCCCAAAGAGAGAAAAAGUACAGAGGCACAGAGGCAUAAAAUAAUUUUGUUUAAGGGAGGCAUUGUGGAAACAUGCUAAGGGGGUGGAUAUGAGGGAAAUGUGUUGUGGCUUAUGCAGAGAAAUGGUUGUAUCACCAGGGAACAGCUCCGGAAGGUACCUAAAUUGCCAGUCUGGACACAAGUAAGGAAGAAGGAUAAAAAUGAAUUAAAUGGUUCUAGGUCCCAAUAAGCCUCAUAUGUUUUUCUCAUGCAGGAACCAUAAACUGGUAGAUUGUAGUAGGUAUGCUUAGAAGUGAAAUUAAAGAGGAGACCUGAGUUCUAAGCUAGGUAUUUGAAUAUUUUAUUCCCUUCAGUGCUUCCUUUUGUCACACACAUCACUGUACAAAUAUUGGCCAGGAUUCUCUAUAGAAUCAACAAAAUUUAAUAUGUUGUUUACAACCUAGGAAACCAAGGAAAAGCCAGUGGUGUAAAUUAGCAAUUCACUCUGAGACCCAAGGGCCAGGAUGAGUCCCCACUUAUCUAAGUCCCAGAGUCUAGAGGUUCAAGAACCAAGAUGUCUGAUGUCCCAGGGCAGGAGAAGAUGGAUAUUCCAGCUCAAGAAGAGAGAAACUGUUUGGUUCCUUUGGCCUUUUUGUCCUACUCAGGCCUUCAAUGGAUUGUAUGGUGCCCACUGACAUAGGCGAGGACACAUCUUCUUGACUUGGUCUACUAAAUCAAAAGCUAAUCUUUUCUGGAAACCUCCUCAAAGACACUCAGAAAUAAUGUAUUAUUAACUAGUUAUCUGAUCAUUCUUCAGCCCAACCAAGUGCACACAUAAAAUAAACCAUCAUUGUAUAUAGAAAUGGAAUGCUGGCUUCCAGGACUUGGGAGAGCAAUAUCUCAAGCCUUCUGUGGCUCAACAGUGUGUCCAGUUGUGGUUGUGAAGUGCCACACUAGGUGGCAGGGAGUAAGAGAAGAGCUUUAAUCAGCAAGUGACCUGAUUAGGGUAGCAUAGAGGGCUCCGUGGGCUUUCACUGAGACCACUGUGCAUGGUCCCUGCCACAGGAUCUUCGGCACAUUCUUUCCUUCUGCCCAGAGUUGGUCCUUCUAGCAUCCCCGUCCUCACCUCACUGUGCCCACUCAUCCUUAGAUUACAGCUUAGCCAUCACUUUCUCAAAGAAGCUGCCCCCAUCCCUCAAAAUCUUCUUUCUCGUGUUUUCUUAUGUAUUUUCUUGACACUAAUUUUAAUUGAUAGCUAUGUGUUUGUGUUAUUAUAUGAUCUAUUCUAGCUAGACUAUUUGUCAUGCUGUUUCUACAAUUGGAAAGCACAGCUUUCACACUGCCACAUGCCACAUAGCUAUCUUUCAAAGUCCAUCCUGAAUUUUAUUUCUCAGCAGUGAACACACCUGGAAACACUUGUGCCCUUUUUUCAGGUCCAACAUAAUAUGGACUACAGACAUUUCUCGUGGCUUUAUAAAAUAAGUAAUCAGGAAUUUCUGCCUUCCACUGUUGUUUUCUGAGACUCAACCCCCAUUUCCCCUGCCCCACUCACAGUUACUAUAGGGUCAUCCAUGUUAGUGCAGUGGGACUCCACCUGAAGUUUCAUUUGCUUGGUCCUGGGAGGUGAAUGCUUGAGGUCUAGACCAAUAAGUUCCUUCCUUCAGAUUUUUAGGUUUAAGUUAGAAUGAGUUAUAUAAAUUUGUCCAAUACCACAAGUUAUUAGACACAGCAUUGGGAGACAAAAGGGUCAAAGCUUCACUCUAUGGAAAUCAUGAUCUUACAAUAUAAAAGAAGAAUAAAGCUGUACACCAAGAACAGCAGAUCCAAGAUGGUGUCCUAUCAACUUUGUCAACUUGAGCCCCAGAUAUAUUCAACCUUCAGCCAGCUUUUGAGCUGUGACAUAGUGAUGGAGAGUCCCAAUAAACUCCACAUUUGUAUUUUUGGUUUAAGAUGAGUUUCUCUCACUUUGUCACCAAGAUUACAAAUUAAUACAUAUUGAACACUUUUAAGAGCACUCUGGAAUAGAAUUUAUCGCUUCAAUUGAUUAUUAGAGUGGAUAAAACCACCAUGAAACAUUCCAGAUUUUAACAUAUCAAUUCUAAAAUGUACUUAUCUGACAUAUCCAUGGAGCAACAGUACAUUCUUAUGGAAACAUUAUGAACAUUGCAAUCAGACUUGGGUUUGAUGCCAACUCCAUGUUUCCAAGCAGAAAUUUUGACUCUGGCAAGUUAACUGCACUAUUCUGAGCCUUUCUGUUGCAUGGAAGUAAUAAUACCUAUGUUAGAGACUUUUAUCACAUGGCACAAUGAAUAAUGCAUUAAAAGAUAACACCAAAUCUGGCUCAUCAUGCCCUUGGUAUUUCACAUUUUGUUGAAUCCACUGAUUGCAAUAUGCAUCAUAUUUGCUACAAUAUACUAUGUACUACAGAGAAAGGAAAAGCUGGUUAAAUUAUGAAAAACCAUUAAUUACAUGAGGCAUUCUUAUUUCAGAGCUGUUGAACUAUGUAAAGAAGUGCGCCUUAGGAUCUAGGAAAUAGAGUAUUUUUAUUGAACACAGAUGAUCUAGGCAAUAAUGUAAAGCACUGGUGAUAUAGCAAUGAAUAAGGCUGAUUUUGUCCCUUAAGGUGAUGAGAAUCAAAUGGUUGGUAUGUUUAAGAUUUUUUUUAAAGGACACCGAAUAAUCUGUGAGUUUAUCACAAAGAUAGGGUCAAGAAGUGAAGCAGGGUGGAAAUACUAGACUUGAAUCCCACUAUAUGUCAUUAGAUCUUACAGCAGUUGUAUUUUCAUGCUAUGCAUAGAAUUCAAAACAAAUUGUCUGCUUACAAUUAAAAUCCUGCUGAGUUUCCAAGAGGCCAGACCCCAGGGAGCUAUUUGAACACCAUGUCUUAUCCACAAGGAUGCAAUUCUAUUUUUAAAGGACAAUUAAAGGGUUUCCUCGUAGGUUAGGCUAAACUUUCUUCAAAAUACAUGAAGGAAAUACCUGGAAAAGAGAAAUUUAAGGCUUGUUUUCAUCCUGUUACUUGAGAACAAUUUCCAAAAAGAACUGAAUUUUCUUUGUUAAAAAUCAGAUUCGGAAGGCCUGUGUUUUUUAACGCUUUACAGUCUUGGUAGAAGAGAACAAAGACCUCUAGGAAACUCAUUGUAACAGUCACCAAAUUUCCUCAUUAAAUAACCAUUUAUUGGUCUAUUAAAUCUGAUCUGAACUGUAAUACUUUGUGGUAAAUUUUUUCUGCAACGUAAGUUGCUCAGUUAGCUCUUCCUAAAGCAUCUACUCCCUUAGAGAGAGCCUCGACAUUAUCCCAGAAAAGGCAAAUGUGUUUGCCUUCCUGGACAUCUCUAUUAGAAAGGGAUUCAGUUGGGAAGACUCUAAACAGAACAUUUUCUUUGCCUCAUUUUCUUAGGAAGACUUUAAAAUGGUUUUAGGGCUUUCAUGUAAUUAUCAAGUAUUUAGUGCGGGCCAGGCACUGUCUCAGAACUGGAGGAUGAAGAUACAUGUUUUCUCUGCCCUCGAGGCACGCACUGUCCAGUGGGAGAGAGAGAUCCAUAAGGACAGCAGUAAGUAGGAGGUGACUUCAGGAGCCCUCAACACAAGGGCAUCAGCCAUGGGGAGAGGAAGCAAACCAUCUGCAUGAGUCAAAUGCACCAUCAGGUACCUAGAAAGAACCAGAACUCACUGGUACUUUAAUGAUAAGAUUGUAAUGAAGGGAGUUCUUACAGAAUGUAGGUAGAGUGAAGGGAGCAAAUGAUAGGUUUUGAGUCACCCUGAGAGUUCUAACAAAUGGUGAGGAGCAGUUAUUCACUCAGAAUAAAAAAGCAAGGAAAGUGUAGUGUAGUUGGUCAGCACUGGCGCUCUGGAGAAGCACCUUUUCAGUAAGGGCUGCAGAAAAGGGUCACAGUCGCCACCAGAGAAAAGCCACAGCAGCAAGGCAGAAGCAGGAAAGGAAAGCCCCAGCCUUCCUUUGCUCUGGUUUUCUAAUUUUCCAUUGAUGGUUCCCACUGCCUGAACCAAAUGGACAUCAGAUUGCCAAUGUGGUGCAAUCUGAUGCCAAGGAAGGGCAUUAAAUGGACUUGGGCAAGAGGGCAAAGAGAGAGCAGCCAGUGCAUCUGCCAUCUAUAAUUUUUCAAGGUUCCUGAGUGUGGGUGCAUGUGCAUGCACAUGCACGCGUGCACGUGCGUGCACACACACACACACACACACACACACACCAUUCAUUUAGCAAACUCUUGUCAAGUUCCUACCAUGUGAAUAACAGAGAUAAGCUACUGGAGACAGAGUAUUUGGCUUUGGAGGUGAAAUAGUAAACAAAACAAAUACUACAUUUACCCCCAUAGGCCUUCUAGACUAGUGGGAAAGACUGAAUAAAGUAAAUAAUCUAUGAAGCAUAACCAGCUCUGUGUUAAGGGGAGGUCAGGAAGCUAUAGGAGUACAUGGGACAGGGGAGUAGCUAAGGGAAUCUGGAGGCCACAGCAUGCUCCCCUGAGAAUGUGAUGUUUCAGCUGAGACCUGGAAGUGAAUAGAAGUCAAGCAGCUGGAGGAGCAAGUGACAAAGAGGGAAGCAUUCCUGGUAGAAGGAACACAGGUGCCAAGGCCCAGAGGCAGCAAUGUGUCAAGUUCAUGGGUCUAAGAGGAGUUCAGUGGGCUUGGAGCCUGGAAUACGGAGAAGUGUUGAGAGGUGAGGCUGGAGUGACAGUUCGUGAUGUAGUGUUUUGUGUCAUGUGGCUCUAGGCUUUGAUCCCAAAGUCAGAGAGGAACAAGACAAACAUUUUGCUGAGGUUUUUCUGAGGUUUGAAAGAUCACUUUGGAUCCCAAUCAAACUAUUUCCUAACCACAGCAAAUGUUACAAGACUCAGGGUCAGAAUGAUGAACAAGUACCAAAAUGGUGCCAGCAAUUUUAAGAUGGUACUGGUGAAAUGAAGAAUUUACAGGUGAAGUUAGCUUUAAAUUCCCAUAUCCAGCCUUCCUCCCAAUUGUUUUGUCCUUGCUGGAAGGCUGCAAGUCUGGGUAGUUUCUGCCUAACCAAAAUAACUUGUUUUCUCUGUUAACAUUUAGUAACACAUGAACAUAGUUUGGGCUCACCAUGUCCUCCGUAGACUGGUAAUUGAAGUACAAACUGAUAUAAACUAUUUGGAAAGCACUUUUGUGAUAUGUUUUAAGAACUUCCAAAAUGUCUAUGUUGUUUAAUCCAGGAAUUUCACUAAUAGUAUGCUAGUACAUAUAGGAAAUAUAUUGCAUGCUUUACGCUUAUUAAGACAGUUAAACGUCAUCACACUAUGAGGUAGAUGCUAUUAUUGUUCCCAUUUUACUGAUGAGAAUAAAUGAAAAGAAGAAUUGAUAUGUUUUGCCCAACUUGCACAGCUAGUAAUUUGCAGAACUAGUAUUUAAACCAAGGCAGUCUGAUUUUAGAGUUGGCACAUGUUUACACCAUACUACAUUGCCUCUAUUUUAGUAUAUGUGCUGCCAAAGUGAGCAUUAAGCUGCCUCUAUUUAUUUAGGCAGAUAUUUGGGUUAAGAUCUAUGUACAAAGAUGUGCACUACCACAUUAUUUAUCUUAGAGAACAUCUUGAUACUUUUAAAGGUAUGAUUUACUUGCAACAGUGUGUACAACUCUUAAGUGUUUGGUGCAAUACGUUUUUUAUAUGAAUGUAUUGUACAGUUACACCCAGAUCAAUUUAUAGUGCAUUUUAGUAGCACAGUGGACUUUCACCGCCUCUUCCUCAUCAAUAACUCAGAGUAUUCACUAUCUAACUUCCACUGACAUAGACAUUUUGCCUAUUCAAGGAACUUCAUAUAAAUAAAUAGAAACUCUUUUGUGAUUGAUUUAUUAAACUUAAGGUUUGUAAAGCUGAUUAAUUUUCUGGUAUAUUUAAAUAGUUUUUUCUACUACUGUGUUUUUUAUUCCAUUGUGUAAAUCUAUUCUUCUUUUGAAGGAUGAUUGCCCUGUUUCCAGUUUGAAGCAAGUAUAAGAAAAGUUGCUGAAUAACUUUGUUCAUAUCUUUAAUAGAUAUGUAUUUUCUUUUAUGUUACUACAUACCAGGAUUGGAAUUGUUAUGUCCCAGUUUUAAUUGAUAAUGAAAAACAGUUUUCCAAAAUACUUGGACAACUUAUUAUGACACUAUUAAUAUGUGAAUGUUUCAGUUAUUCUGUAUCUUUGACAACACUUGAUAUAGUCAUUCAUACUGAUUUUAGUUAUUCUGGUGGGUCUGUAGUGGAAUUCAUUUGUGGUUUUAUCUUGAAUUUUCCUUAUAACUAUUUUUUCCCUAUAAAAUUGAGCACCUUCCCAUGUACUUGGCCAUAUGAUUGGCUUUUUUAAUGCAGUAACUGUUCAAGUAUUUUGCCUUUAUAAAAUUGGGCUGCUUGUAUUGUCUAACUGAUUUUUGGAAGGAAUUAUUUACAUUCUUGGUAUAUAAAUUUGUUGGAUAUGUGCGUUAUAAAUACUACCUUCCAGUCUGUGUU
ensembl:lncRNA